rnacentral:lncRNA from 1 species
GAAAGUUCUUCCUAUUUCCUUAUUUUGCUACUGUUUUGUUUGCUUUUUCUUCUUUGUUUGAUUGUGGCUUAUAGGUGGUGGUGCAGCGGUUACGGUGGCCGUAGGCGCAGUGGUGGUGGGGGCUUUUGGCUGCUGUUUCUUGAAUGUUCUUCUGCUGUUUUUUUUCAAUUUUUUUCUUUUUUCUUUGCUGCCCAAAAACUGAACCUUUUCCCUUCCGUUUUUUCUUUUUAAUCUGAUUCAUUUUGUCAUUUUUCCCCUUGUGUUCAGGUGGAGCCAGAGGAGGGGAAGCAUGGCCGAUUGGGGGUGUCAGGCGUGGAAGGCGGUGCACGCAAGAAAGCAGAUUGUGGGCAGUCUUGUCAUGCCUAGAAGGACCAAAAUGUAAAGGGUGUAAAGUUUUUAAGGCAAAAAUGUAAUUUUAGGAAAAUAUGAGGCUAAAAUGUAAUUUCUAGAAAGUUUAGAGGCCCGAAUGUAAUUUACAAAAUAUUAGGGGUCAAGAUGUAAAUUUAGAAAAAGUUAAGGGUCAAAAUGUAAUUUUUAAAAAGUUCA